rnacentral:rRNA from 1 species
CAUAACCUGAGGUGCGAUGACAGCUGGCUUAAAGCCGGCGAGUCCCUGACGCCAUGCCUCCGAGAAAAGCCUCUAGGGAGAGCGCGCGUGCCCGUACCAAAACCGACACAGGUGGGCAAGUAGAGAAUACUAAGGUGAUCGAGAUAACCAUCGUUAAGGAACUCGGCAAAAUCGCUCCGUAACUUCGGGAUAAGGAGCGCCCCAGUAGGGUGAAGCACUUCGCGUGUGGAGCCUGAGAGGGCCGCAGUGAAUAGGUUCAACCGACUGUUUACCAAAAACACAGGGCUCUGCUAAGUCGCAAGACGACGUAUAGGGUCUGACGCCUGCCCGGUGCCGGAAGGUUACGUGGAGGUGUUAGCCGCAAGGCGAAGCACUGAAACUAAGCCCCGGUAAACGGCGGCGGUAACGAUAACCGUCCUAAGGUAGCGAAAUUCCUUGUCGGGUAAGUUCCGACCUGCACGAAUGGCGUAACGAGUUGAACGCUGUCUCAACGAUGGGCUCGGUGAAAUUGCAGUCUCGGUGAAGAUGCCGAGUACCCGUGGCUAGACGGAAAGACCCCGUGCACCUUUACUAUAACCUGGUAUUGGAGUGCGGUGCAUCUCGCUCAGGAUAGGAGGGAGUCUUUGAAGCACCGGCUGCGGCUGGUGUGGAGACACACUUGAGAUACCUCCCUUGAUGUAUUGUGCUUCUAACACUGCGCCGUAAUCCGGGCAGUGAACAGUGCCAGGCGGGCAGUUUGACUGGGGCGGUCGCCUCCCAAAAUGUAACGGAGGCGCGCAAAGGUUCCCUCAGUACGGUUGGAAAUCGUACGUAGAGUGCAAAAGCAGCAAGGGAGCUUGACUGUGAGACCGACAGGUCGAGCAGGUGCGAAAGCAGGCUUUAGUGAUCCGGCAGUAGCAAGUGGAAGUGCUGUCGCUCAACGGAUUAAAGGUACGCCGGGGAUAACAGGCUUAUCGAGUCCAAGAGUCCACAUCGACGACUCGGUUUGGCACCUCGAUGUCGGCUCGUCGCAUCCUGGGGCUGUAGUAGGUCCCAAGGGUUGGGCUGUUCGCCCAUUAAAGCGGUACGCGAGCUGGGUUCAGAACGUCGUGAGACAGUUCGGUCCCUAUCUGCCAUGGGCGUUGGAGAAUUGAAAGGAUUCGUCCCUAGUACGAGAGGACCGGGAUGAACGCACCUCUGGUGUAUCUGUUGUCCUGCCAAGGGCAUCGCAGGUUAGCUACGUGCGGACCGGAUAACCGCUGAAGGCAUCUAAGCGGGAAGCCGACCUUGAGAUGAAUUCUCCCACCUCCUUGAGAGGGUAAGACCCCUAGUAGACCACUAGGUUGAUAGGCCGGAUCUGGAAGAGUGGUAACACUCGUAGGAGACCGGUACUAAUGGGUCGAGGGCUUGAC